ensembl:lncRNA
GUGAGAAUGUGUUGAAAAUAUUGUCUUAAUCCAAAUCUACAAAUGUCAAACAUUGUAUUUUAUGUCUGGAGAAAUCUAUAGUCCCUUUUUUUAUAUGAGCUUAAAAACAUAUUUACAGUAUUUCAGUCUGCACAUCUAAGUCUCUGUGUCAUUGAGAUCAGACAGGUCAGGGAGUGGAAGAAAUUAAUUCAUGCAUAUAUUAGUCUGUUUGAGCUCAUUAAAACGAGGAAAUGCUAAUUUAUGAUGGGUGAAGGUUUAUUUAUAGCCCAAGAGUGGUGUAAGCACAUCUCUUAAGAUGUCUAAGUGAAGGAUAGGGAUCUUAUGUCAUCUCAUUGCGAGCAAUAUGUGUCUGAUUGGCCAUAGCAAAACCCUAGACAGAUGGCCCAUUCUGGUAUUUAGAGUUUAAGGCCCUGCUGUGAAACUGUUUGCUUGGAGAACUCUGGUUUAAUUCCUCCAACGUGGACACAAGAGGAAUUGUAUUUGUCCGAUGUGGACUCAAGAGGGAAAUAAAGAAAAUAAUUGGAUUUUUGGUUUCCAAACAAGAAGCACAACUUCAGCUGAGCAAGACAAAUCCGACCUAUCCCGGAGCUUAUGGGACAGUCAACUAAACUGUUAUAGCCAGGAGUUUAUUUUCAACCCAAAGACAGGAAGUUCAAUAACUUCAUAAAAGUGAUUACACUGCAUUUUGGACAGAAGGAAGAAAUGCUUCAAAGGUCACUUGAGGUUGAGUCAGUCACCUUUGCCAAACCACACAAUGAAGCCUCAGGUCAAGAAGGUUUUAGUCUAUGGGACACUCAGGUUCACAACCAUGUUCCUAAAGCCCCAACACUGCACAUUUUGAAUGUCUCCUUUGACAUCCAUUUCUGGUCUUGGAGUCUCUUCUGACCUGAAUCAGGUAUGUUUGAUUAGGGAGACCUGCAAAAUUUCACAUAACACUGCCCUUUAGUUUGUUUAAACUGGAUAUGAUUGGAGAGGGCUUAAGUUGCUUUUGAGCUACUCAGUUCCACUCAUACUACCUCUAUGAAGCUGCAAACAUGGAAUAAUGAACAAAUACUAUGCAAAUUUCUCAUACAUCAGGUUAAAAAUCCACCAAUGGAGGCUUACCCUAAGUGGACGUUUCUUGUCCAGAAUAAGCCGCAAAGUGGCCACAAGUUCAAAAUCUGGCUAGCCCGGUUGAUGUCCACAGUAGGUUCUUAUCAAGUAUUCAUGGGCAGUUUGUUUCUGUGGAAGAUAAGGAAGUAUGUUAAUUCAGGGUAGGCAUGGUACAGGUUUGUGCCAGCGUGCACAGGUGUUCCGGCUAUAUGGGUCUUAAAUGUUGCCAGGAACAAAUUACCUGAAGCCCUGCAACUAUGGAUCUAGACUGAUAACUCUUACACAUGAAUGUUUUUAAACCUUUUCCAAUGCACCAUUAAGCCUUGGCAAAGCGGCUGGAAGGUAAUUGCCGCUCAUUACACAUGAAAUCCCAAACAACACACUUUGAGUCGAUUGAAAUUCAAGUGGCUAAAUUUGAAAGU